GGCUGGGAUCCUGGAGAAAAAAUUCCC
rnacentral:piRNA from 1 species